CAGCCGUAAACUAUGCGCGUUAGGUGUAUCGGUGACCACGAGUCACCGAGGUGCCGAAGGGAAACCGUGAAACGUGCCGCCUGGGAAGUACGGUCGCAAGGCUGAAACUUAAAGGAGUUGGCGGGGGAGCACCACAACGGGUGGAGCCUGCGGUUUAAUUUGGACUCAACGCCGGGAAGCUCACCGGAUAAGACAGCGGAAUGAUUGCCGGGCUGAAGACUCUGCAUGACUAGCUGAGAGGAGGUGCAUGGCGUAGACGUCU
rnacentral:rRNA from 1 species